rnacentral:lncRNA from 1 species
CAGUCUACCUUCUCCAUGGUUGCUCUUGAGACCCACCCCAAGCCUCUCCAGCUUCUGCAGUGCAUUGUUGAUGAGGAUUCGCCGGUCCUUCCGCUUGGAGAGUUCUCGGAGCCGUUUGUACAUUUCAUCACUCAGUGCAUGAGGAAGCAGCCCAAGGAAAGACCAGCGCCCGAGGAGCUGAUGGGUCACCCAUUCAUCGUGCAGUUCAAUGACGGAAACGCCACUGUGGUGUCCAUGUGGGUUUGCCGAGCUCUGGAGGAGAGACGGAGCCAGCAGGGGCCCCCAUGAGACCUCAGCAGGACACUGACCACCCAGGACCAGGCAUCAAGGUCACAACAAGCCGUGACCCCUCUGUCUGCUGCCUGAUUGGGAAGAGAUGUACUGGGCACAGCCUCCUGCUUUCACCUUCUACCUUACCUGGGAGUCUUCAAGAAGGCUGGCCUCUGCCGAACCCCUCACCACUGGUAGGGAGGAGGCACUGACAAUGGCAGGUGGAGAUGGUGCAGGGUUGGGGUGAUGAGGUUAUGGAACCUCCUCUGGCCCCACCCUCAUCUCUCCCUACUGUUGUAAAGGGUCAGCCUAUCAGCAGCACUGAUGGGAAUAAAGUAUUACUGCUUUG